CUGAGUGUUACAACUCCCUAACCCUUUGUGAAUCUUACCUAUCGUUGCUUCGGCGGGAUCUGCCACGGCGCCCCCGCGGCGCCCUGGCACCCCGCCGGAGGCCCAAAACUCUUGCUUCUCUCAAGUGGUUUUCUCUGAGUGGCACAAGCAAAAUUAAAUUA
rnacentral:misc_RNA from 1 species